rnacentral:rRNA from 1 species
CCUACGGGAGGCAGCAGUGAGGAAUAUUGGUCAAUGGCCGGAAGGCUGAACCAGCCAUGCCGCGUGAAGGUCAGUGCCCUAUGGGCAUUAAACUUCUUUUGUGCGGGAGCAAUAAUGGUCACGUGUGGCCAGACGAGAGUACCGUACGAAUAAGCAUCGGCUAACUCCGUGCCAGCAGCCGCGGUAAUACUGGGGAUGCAAGCGUUAUCCGGAUUUAGUGGGUUUAAAGGGUGCGUAGGCUGGGAGGUAAGUCAGCGGUGAAAUGCCCCCGCUCAACGGGGUGAAGUGCCAUUGAUACUGCCUUGCUGGAAUGCGGAUGACGUGGGAGGAAUGUGUGGUGUAGCGGUGAAAUGCAUAGAUAUCACACAGAACACCGAUUGCGAAGGCAUCUCACGAAUCCGCGAUUGACGCUGAGGCACGAAAGCGUGGGUAUCAAACAGGAUUAGAUACCCCUGUAGUC